rnacentral:rRNA from 1 species
CUACUCACUAUAGGGAGCACGCAUCGACUCCUAUAGGGAAGCUUGCAUGCAGGCCUCUGCAGUCGACGGGCCCGGGAUCCGAUUAACGAGGUGAUCCAGCCGCAGGUUCUCCUACAGCUACCUUGUUACGACUUCACCCCAAUCAUGGAUCAUACCGUUACACCAUGCCUCCCUUGCGGGUUAGCGCUGGCGCUUCUAGUACAACCCACUUUCGUGAUGUGACGGGGGGUGUGUACAAGACCCGGUUACGAUUAGAG